GACGAACUAGUGGCGGACAAUUCCGUGGCGUCGGCGCCGUACAACGGGGACGACCUGGAGAUGAAGCGGUUCACCAUGGAGUUCCUGUCCCAUUACUGCAGGUGAGCGAUUCGUCUUGUUUUGGUGCCAGGAACCAGUCUUAUCCCCAUUGCAGCAGGACAUCCAGUCUUGGUUGUUUCGGUGCCAAGAACCUUUGUUGCCUUGCGCUAAGUUUAGGCCGUUAUCGACCUUGCUGAAGUGAUAUCCCGUCUGUUAUGAUGUCUGAGGCAGCUUCACCUACUGCGCUAAGUUCAGUCUUGGAGUAGUUACCUUGUGCUACAAUUUUUUGCUGUGUUAUAAAGUGAUUCUUGCUGCUGGUGACUUAGUAUAGCUUUGGAUUUAUAUAACUGCAUCAAAUGUUCAGUGUUCACCAAUCCUCCAGAUAUUAGAUGUUGGAUUCUCACUCUGCUAUGAAUCUUGAGAUUCUACUGAAACUCUGCUUAUAAAGUGAUUCUUGCUUCCAAUUAUUUUUUGGGCAUCCCACUGAAACUCUACUUAGCUAGUGGCUGGUUCUCUAUAAUGAUUGACAAUUGCAAUGGAGUGAAAGAAAUAAUUUCUUUUGACUUCACUUUUCUUUUCAGAAAUUAGCUAGUCAAGCAACCAAAUGUGGUAUCUUGUUCUAAUUCCUGAGAUAUUAUCGUAAAAGCAGGUUCUGAAGAAUGGUGUGGAGGUGAAGUUGCAGAGGAAUGCCCUGAGUGUCUUGGAAGCUCCAGCUACUGUAAGACCAUGCCAUCAUUCACAAUGUGUGUAGCAAAAAAUGCUUUAAAUUGUCAAUAACACAAUCAGACUAAAUGUGUUCUUCUUGUUUGUUGCAAUCUCAGUACAUACUCCAUGUAUACAGUCUGUUUAUCUACUGCAGGUAGAGUGCAGAGUAGCUUCUUAAUCUUGCAGUCCCCUUGCUAGUCAUGAAUGUUCAUUGCUUUGGCGAGGGAACUUCUGUAGUCGAACAUGUUUAUGUACUUCAGUCUUGUUCUGCAUGCUUAAGCAGUCGAACAUGUUUAGAUAUUCCAGUAGGAGUACUUGUAUCUCUGCAUAAACUCCAGUCUUGUUUAGUAGGAGUACUUGUAUCUCGUACAUAUACUCCAGUCUUGUUCUGAAUUUGUUCACUUGCUUACCAGUCUUGUGCAGGGCAUCUCGACAAGCAACUCCUCAAGCAUCUCAACAAGCAUCUCGAUAAGCAUCUCAACAAGCAACUCCUCAAGCAUCUCGACAAGCAUCUCAACAAGCAACUCCUCAAGCAUCUCGACAAGCAAAUCCUCAAGCAUCUCAAAAAGCAACUCCUCAAGCAUCUUAACUAGCAUCUCAACAAGCAACUCCUCAAGCAUCUCAACUAGCAUCUCAACAAGCUACUCCUCAAGCAUCUCGACAAGCAUCUCAACAAGCAACUCUCUCCAUUAUCCCAAGAUUGUGCAGGGCAUUUGCAUAUACCUCUCGAGGGCAUGUAAGUCUUGGAGGUAGCAUCCCAAGGUUCUCUAGCCUUUCCUUGUUCGCAUGGGGUAUUUUAUACCCAUUGCCCCCUGCAUGGUUCAGGAUUUCAAUCAUGCAAGCUUGUAGAGAUAGGAAAACUCUGUUCAGCUUGUAAACCUCAUAGUUUUCAAAUUCAUCUAGCACACCCUUGAUAAGAUCCUGAAGCGUUCUAGGGCUUAGACAAUCUGUUAGAGAUUGCAACGAGUUGAAGAACCCAAGCUCAAGGCCAUUCAGAUCACGGCUAUUGACAGGUUGUUGAAUUAGUCGGAUAUCGAGUCCAGUUCUUUCCACAGCUGCUACAAAUUCUGGGUCGUUAGGCAAGAUAUGAGGCUUAGCGUUGUCUUGCUGUAUAUAGAUGGUUUGCCCAGCAUCAUUCUCAGGCCAAGAUGCUUGUAUUGCUGGCAGUAGGUUCUCUAUCAUGAACUCUCUCAUUACUUGCCUGUUGACUUUUAUGGACUUUGUCUCCAAUGUUCCUCUGGGCCUGUUGUCGCUUCUCCUCUGAGCCGAAACUUCUUUCACAAAUGGCCAAAUUCCAAUUUUUCCAGAGAAGGUCACAUUUCCUUCAUUAUCCCACCUCGGCCUAGCAACAGCUGUCAAGAACAUAACCUUUCCAAUACAACUGCCAUUUUGCAGAGUUCUCGUAGGCUCUUCCUCCCCAUACAAUAGAUAAUAGUUCCUUUUUUUCUUGGUCAUAUAGAACCAUUUCUUGUCAAUAUGAAUAAUGUUGUGCAUGGUCUUGAAUUUUGGCCUUUCAGUUUGUGUUGUUGUCUCAUGGAGCAUUGACAAGCAAUAUUUCAUUCUAUCCUUCUUGUUCUUUUCUUCCAGAACUGGCUUCAAACUAUUUGUAUGCCUCUUUAUCAACUUCAGCAUGAACUUCCGGUGGAGUGUCGUAGGGCUGCACUGGAGUUGCCAAGCAAGUGACCUGAUAGUAGACCUCCUGUUCGGUGGGAUGGUAGGGAUUUGCUCUAGAUUGAUGUCUUUCGGCUUUCUUCCACAAUUUCCUUUCCUCUAACUUGAAACAUCUACCUCUAGACCUUUAGCAAUUUGCUCCAUCGCUUUCUUCCAAAUUCUUUGUAUAUUCCAGACACCCACUCCAAAGAAACUUUCCCCCUCUACUCAUGCACAAUGUAUGCAUUGCAACAUAGGCAGCAUAUUUUUGUUUGCCAUCUAGGCUAUCCCUUUUCUGAACUGCUUGCUCAACACCUGCACAAAGAAAAAUAUGAUCAAAUGGAGUACAACAAUGCAUUUAUACAAGUCAUUUGAGUCGUUUACUAUCUAUUCAUGAUCAUUUGAGUCAUUUACCUGCAUGUUGAACAAUUUCAUCUCCUAGAUCUUCAUCCAUUUCAUCUCUUACAUCUUCAUCCAUUUCAUCUCCAUCUUCUGAAGGUGGGGUGUAGUUGAGGUCUGGGAGAUCCAUGUUUUCCAGGCAACUGAAAAGAACUUUCAAGGUAAGAGGUUGAACUUUCAAGAUGCACAACAGUACAUUUCGGAAAAGAAAAUGACCAAAUGGAGUAGUACCACAUUCUUGCAUACUUUGUUUGCACUAUUCUCUCGCUUGCACUGCUUGUUUAACAUUAAAUGAUCAAAUGGAAAUGAAAAUGAUCUUGGAGUAGUUUAGUGUAGGACUUGGAGUAGUACAUGAAACUUUUCCUUCAACUGAAAUUAACUAAAACUUUAACUGUCAAAAUAUCCAGAAGGUUCUAGUUGAGGUUCAUCAGUAGCAAGUGUAACUACUGUAGUAGCAAGUGUAGCAAGUGGAGUAUUGAUCCUUUCCAAAUUAACACUCCAAUUUGAGUAUCAUUAAAGUAAUGUUGUUAAAGUAAUGUAGGAGUAUCAUUUAUUGUUUGUUUCCAAAUUAAUACUCCUAAAUUAAAGUAAUGUUGUUAAAGUAAUGUAGGAGUAUCACUUCCUAGCCCUUCUUUCUACUUUUUCGAGUAGAAUUUUUCAGUUAAAAAUUUCAGAAUUUUUGCCUGAAAUGCUACCGCAAGGAAUAUUUGAAGACAUACUCCAUUAAGUUAGGAGUAUGUAGCAGUACUUAUUUUGAGUAGCUAGGAAUGAAGCUUCCUAGCAAUUUGACCAAAUUCUGUCAUUUACUCCAUUUCAAUGAAGUUUUUGUCAUUUAUUCUGUCAAUGGUAUUCACUGCAAUAAUUUGAAAGUACUGAUGCAUUCAAUUUCCAUUUGACUUAUGCAAACUGAAUUUACUCAAAUCUCUCUCAGCCAAUAAUAAAAUCUCUUAGCAAUGAUGUAAAAAUAAUCAAAUCUCUCCAUUUGACUUAUGCAGGCCUUAUACAAUGAUGUAAAAAUACUCAAAUCUCUCCAUUUAAUUUCCAUUUGACUUAUGCAGGUCUUAUUACAGUAAUAAAAUCUCUUAGCAAUGAUGUAAAAAUACUCAAAUCUCUCCCAGCCAAAAGAUGUUUUGUCAGGUCUUAUUACAGUACUACUCCAGUCAUGAACCUAUUUUUGUUGUGUGUGUGUUCUCAGAAAAACAAUGUACUCCAGUCUGUUUUCAGUAGCUGUCUCUCAUGAUCCUUUAAUGAGAAAAAGAAUAUGUGUAAUCCAGAUGACAACAUUUUCAGUCUAUGAUUUUACUCCUAUUGCAGAGGUUCUUUCAGAAUUUUCAGAAUAAAUGAUGCACAGUCAACAGUUAAUACAGUUUGGUCUGGUACUCCUAUUGUCUGAAAUGCUACAGUUUAUGAUCUGCUAGUCCUUUUGUUCAAUUUAUUUACUCCAUCAGUACUCUAUCACUUGAAUCAAAUUAUUUACUCCAUCAGUACUCCAUCGGUACUCCAUCAGUACUCCAUCACUUGAAUCAAAUUACCAGUUCAAACUUAGUGAUAUCUCUGAAUUAUUCUGCCAAAUUCAGUUAACUUGUUCAAAUUAUUUGUUGAAUUAUUGGCAGCAAACAUUUCUUCAAUCAAAUGCUGGCAGUUCUGAAUUACUCCAGGAGAGCACAUCUCUUGAAUGACUUGAGUAUUGUUUAUGCUUGCAGUUCGUUUCCAGCAACAACAGAGAGAUGUGCUUCAGUAGAGGAUCAAAUGAUCAGAGAGAGGAGAUGAACCUGGGCACCAGCCGAGCCCAGCAGCAGCUCCUGGACGUGGGAGAGGAGGAGCGCCUGCGCCUGGAUGCAGUGGCCGGAGGUGGGGACAGAGGUGGAGGUGGAGGAACAGCCUGUGCUCGCCUCCACCUGGGCGCGGGCCAGGAGGAGCCGAUGCGCGUGGGCGACAGCAGAGCACCAGCUCUACUCCGGCGGCGGCAGCGCCUGGGCAGGGGGCGGAGGAGGUGGAGGGUGGGGGCGGAG
rnacentral:lncRNA from 1 species